GCCGACAUAGCUCAGUUGGGAGAGCGUCAGACUGAAGAUCUGAAGGUCCUUGCUGCAAUCCGGAGAGUUUGUAGGAACUCUGAACAAUCCCGGGUUUCGGCA
rnacentral:tRNA from 1 species